rnacentral:rRNA from 1 species
GACAGAGGGUGCAACCGUUGCUCGGAAUUACUGGGCGUAAAGCGCGUGUAGGUGGACUGGUGUGUCAGAUGUGAAAUCCCUGGGCUCAACCCAGGAACUGCACCUGAAACUACCAGCCUUGAGUGGUGGAGAGGGAAGUGGAAUUCCUGGUGUAGAGGUGAAAUUCGUAGAUAUCAGGAGGAACACCAGUGGCGAAGGCGGCUUCCUGGACACCAACUGACGCUGAGACGCGAAAGCGUGGGGAGCAAACAGG